UAUUGCUAUGCAAAUACACCCAGAAUAAAUGAAAGAGCCACUCAGACAACCCAUUUUUGCCUCUUCCCUUAGACUUUCAAUUUGACUCCUCUCCAAUGAAAAAGGAUUUAAAGACUUCUUGUGGGGGUCACAGGAGUUCCAGGGGGGCUGUUAGGGAGCCAGCUCUGCAAGGUUGAUGCAGGGAACAAGUUGGCACAUGCUGUUUUAUGUCACGGAAGAGUGACAACCACCAAGAAGCCUAUCGAGCCAGUUAUCGACCCGUAAGGAGUGAUGAGCACAGGACACCCCUUACCUGAAGCCAGCAUCUCAACACCCAUGUGCAGAAGUCCAGUUAUCUUCAUCCAGGAGAUGAGAAGACGAGUUGAGGCUACAAGGCAUGUUUCAGCGGGCUCAUCUAUGCAGCACAGCUUGAGCGUAGUGCAGAUCUUCAGAGCAUACAGCUCAAACGAAGAAGGUACGGGCUGCUCCUGUGUGUACCGAAGAUGGGAGAAGGGUAGGAACAGAGCAUCAGGAGAGGACUCCCUCUUCCACUCUUCCAUGAUAGCCACAUUCAUGCCUGUAUAUGGAGACACUGUUUGUUGCUCACUACUGGGAGACAUUUCAGCACCCUGCCUUUUCCCCUACGACAAAGUCUACACCUGCUGGAGUAGAGGACAGAGCUGUCCGA
rnacentral:lncRNA from 1 species